CCGUGCCCAAGAGAUCGGGAUAACACCUGGAAACAGAUGCUAAUACCGGAUAAUAACAGAUGAUGCCUAUCAACUGUUUAAAAGAUGGUUCUGCUAUCACUCUUGGAUGGACCUGCGGUGCAUUAGCUAGUUGGUAGGGUAACGGCCUACCAAGGCGAUGAUGCAUAGCCGAGUUGAGAGACUGAUCGGCCACAUUGGGACUGAGACACGGCCCAAACUCCUACGGGAGGCAGCAGCA
rnacentral:rRNA from 1 species